GUGAUUUAAUUUUUAUUCCUUUGGAGUGUACAGUGAAUUUUGUUUGAUUUUGUUCAGAAGAAUUGUAUUAUUCUCGCGAGAAUUUGAGCCUUUUAUGUUGGCCGCAGGUGAGCACGGUCUUUUGCUCACGAGGUUGCAACAAUUAGGAGUUCAAGCUGGGAGAAAGAGCUGCAAAAAGAAAUACCUUGGACUCAAAGAGACUCUUUUACUUGACAAGCGGAAACGAGUUUUCACGGCGUAAUGAAGGCGUAAUGAAGGCGCAAUGAAAGCGAAGGCACGCAAUGUCCCACAAGAAGUGUGAUGACCUGCAGAAGUACAAAUAAACGCCCGUUGUAAACCGA